GACGAACGCUGGCGGCGUGCCUAAUACAUGCAAGUAGAACGCUGAAGAGAGGAGCUUGCUCUUCUUGGAUGAGUUGCGAACGGGUGAGUAACGCGUAGGUAACCUGCCUUGUAGCGGGGGAUAACUAUUGGAAACGAUAGCUAAUACCGCAUAACAAUGGAUGACACAUUUCAUUUAUUUGAAAGGGGCAAUUGCUCCACUACAAGAUGGACCUGCGUUGUAUCAGCUAGUAGGUGAGGUAACGGCUCACCUAGGCGACGAUACAUAGCCGACCUGAGAGGGUGAUCGGACACACUGGGACUGAGACACGGCCCAGACUCCGACGGGAGGCAGCAGUAGGGAAGCUUCGGCAAUGGGGGCAACCCUGACCGAGCAACGCCGCGUGAGUGAAGAAGGUUGUCGGAUCGUAAAGCUCUGUUGUAAGUCAAGAACGAGUGUGAGAGUGGAAAGUUCACACUGUGACGGUAGCUUACCAGAAAGGGACGGCUAACUACGUG
rnacentral:rRNA from 1 species